GUCUGUGAUUCUUAACCGAUGGUCUAUGACCUAGGCUCAAGAUACAUCAUGCAAAGAGGUGUAGAAGGAAAGUGUCAGCUCCUUUAAGAGUAUCUGGUCAAGGACCUUUUUCAGUGCAGCAAAGGAAAUAGCAAAGUAGGAAGCCACGAACAAGAACAUAAAGGUACAUAAACCUGAGUGGCAAAAGGCAAGGGAGGAAGUGACGGGAACCAAACCUGGUCAAUUGCACACAUUGAUGAGGGCACAGGAGACUGUAACAGUGUUUAUUCCAGCGAGGUUACCUGAUCAGGGACCUUUUGAAAAGAAGAAGAAAGGAAACAAAUAUACACAGACAUGACAAAGCAAAAAUGGAGGCAAUGACAAGAAACAAACCUCUCCAUGCUAAUUGGUGGGCUAUCAAGAAACUACAAGUGCCAAUUCCAGGAAGAUCAACCCGGACUUUGCAACUGCUGAGGUUGUAAACCAGGGACACCUGGACUGGUGUGGUGGUUCUACCCUGCUGGGCAGCUGAACUCCACCACAACUGCGGUCUCACUCCUCCUCCUCAAAGAAAAAGGGGGAGAAAAUAUGAUGGAAAGGUCUCAAGGGCUGAGAUAAGGACAGGGAAAUCAUUCAACAAUUACCAUGAUGGGCAAAAAAGAUUCAGCAUGAGGAGAUUAAUAUAAUUUAUUGCCUAUCACUAGCAGACUGAAACAGUGAGAAAUUAACUAAUAUACAAACCUUUCCCUCAUCCUCCACCUUUCCCUUCAUCCACUCUCUUCUACCUCCUCCCCCCCCAAGCAGCGCAGGGGAACGAGGAAUGGGGGCUGCGGUCAGUCUCUAACGUUUUGUCUCCGCUGCUCCUUCAUGGUCACCCUCUUCCCCUGCUCCACGUGGGGUCCCUCCCAUGGGAUGCCAUCCUUCCCAAACUGAGCCUGUGUGGGUUUUCCACAGGCAGCAGCUCUUCAAGAACUGCUCCUACAUGGGUUCAUAAUAGGAGGUUCAUCCAUCAGGAGCAAACUGCUCCAGCACGGGUCCCCCANNNNNNNNNNNNNNNNNNNNCCAGGGGCCUCUCCACAGCCCGCAGGGGAACUGCUGCUGUGUGCCUGGAGCACCUCCUGCCCUCCUGCUGCACUGACCUUGGUGUCUGCAAGGCUGGUUCUCACUCCUCCCUCUCUCAGCUGCUGUCCUGCAGCAGAUUUCCUCCCCCCUCCCUCCCCUUUCUUAAAUACGCUCUCAGAAAGGCACAAACAACAUAGCUUACUGGCGUUGCAGGUCUCUUUGGAGCUGGCUGAAACUGGCCAUUAUCUGACAUGGGACAUCUGGGCUCCUCACAGAGCACCCCUGCAGCCCCCAGCUACCAAAACCUUGCCACAUAAACCCAUAGAACUGGAAGGCGUGGGAACAGGUAGAGCUCUGCACAUCUUUGAGAGGGCAGGAAGACCACGGAGGAACAGUGAGAUUGUGUGACUGGCAAUGUCACUGACCCAUACCUGUCUGCAUGCCUCUGGGACAGAUGCUCAGCUUUGCUUCUGCAAAGGGGACAGUGGCAGCCAGGUCUACCUGGCUGGGCAGAGACCCCAGUUUUCUGGGCAUCAGGCUGGGCCUCAACAACCAAGCAAGAGGGUCCUGGGCCUGGGCACAAGAGGCUGGAGCAGGCGGUCACAGUCUAAACAGCACUGAACAUGCCUUGGCUAUAACGGUGCCUGAAGUACUUUUCCAAUAACUGAGGACUGUCCUAAAGCAAAGGUGAAUAUAAAUGAGGUGCUGAAGUGAAAUUGCUUCUCAUGUCUGAGAAAACAUUAAAGGGUGUGGCCAAAACUGUGCAUUUUUCUGUUUUCUUAGUCUGUUUCUUUGUUUUUAGUUUCAGUAGAGUGUUUCUAACAGCCAUCCAGGUAGCAUCCUUCACAGAUUUUCUGAAAAACAACAAAAAUAAUUAACACUUUUUAGUGCCAUUCAUUCAGCUUUUAUAUAUGACACUUCUUUACUUUUUGUAAAGUUAUUUGCUUAAACUGCUUCUAAUAUUCUGUAAAAUCAUCUGUAAUAGAUGUGGACACUAUGCAGAGUCUCUGAGAGAGUCUGCUUGAUCAAUAAAUCAAGACUGGUGAUAAACUUUAUUGUAUGA
rnacentral:lncRNA from 1 species